CCCCCGGCUCUGCACAUCCCCCGCUGUCCCCCGGCCCCGCUGCCCCUCGCUUCGCGCUCCUGCCAGCGGCGGUCGCCAGAGACCACUGGUACAUCCUGGAGGUGGCAGACGCAGGCAACCGCAGCUCUCCUCGCACUCGGACUCUGGCGCAUCUGUGAAGGGCAGAACAGCUACAUACCUUCGCCAGCGAGAGCCUGGACGCCUCCACCUCAGUGCAGCACCUCAUCUCGCAAAGGCGAGCAAACGCUGUCACCAGCUGUCCAUCCAGAGGUGUUCGGUGAACGAGUGUGCGUGAGCAUCGCGUGCGUGUUUGUGUCCACCGUGAAGUCAUCUGCGAACAGAGCAGGACUACUUCUUAUUCCCAGGUCAGCACAGGGAUGGGGGUUUCCCUGGGUCUCCGUGUUGGAAUCGGGGGCUGGUUUUGUGGGCAUGUCCUCUCAGUUUGGGAGGAAAGGUGUGGGGGACUCUUCCUCUCCUCCUGGCUCCCAGCCUCUGUUGAGGAGGCUUCUCCUGGGAAUUUCCUGGGAAGUGAGGGGUGACAGCCUAACUUCAGGCCUCUCACGCAGAUGGACUUGGGCUCUGGGGAUAUGACACUGGAGAAGACACACCAGGGGCUGCUGGGACCACCAGAGUUCCCUGAGAGUGUGUGUUGGGGGAGGAUGCGCGGCUUGCCCUUUCCCCUCCAGAGCAGACCCUCCCAUCUAGCCUCCACAUGUUCUGGUGGGUGUGGAACUCAGCCAGGUCAGGAGACUCCUUCACUCCCUGAUUGGCCAGCCACAUCCUCAUCCUCUGAUUGGCUGACCGUCACUCUCUGGUUGGCUAGUAGACUCCCUUACUCUUGAGGGGCUAGUCAACUAUUUCACUCUGAUUGGCCAGCCAUGUCACUCACCCUCUGAUUGGCUAAUUGACUCCACUAUCUGAUUGGCCAGUUGAUGCCCCUCAUGCUCUGAUUGGCCAGUCAGUGUUCCUGACUCUCUGAUUGGCCAGUUGACUCCCUCACUCUCUGGCUAGUUUCCACAGUGAUUGGCCCAUGGGUUCUGUCUGUUUUCACGGGUCUCUGAGUGUCAGGCUUUGCAGCUGGGAUUAACAGGCAGAUGAAUGCUUCCUCCCAGGGAAGAGACAGUGCAUGGUUCAAGGUCACCGAGAAUAGACAACAUGAUAUCAGGCUCAAAUGGGGCUGCAUUAUUUACAGUAAGAGGAGACAGCCUGUGCACCAAAUCUCCUUGCAAUGGUGGUUCCCACAGUUGGAUUCACUGGCCCAAGUGGGCCUCUUUCUCUGAUUUUUCUUAGAACUUUUCAAAAUAGGCAACACAUGCCCAUGUGUCACAAACAGUGCAAAGGAGAGUAAACACUGUCACCAGCUAUGUGAACGUCUGUCCAUCCAGAGGUGUUCUGGGCAAGUGUGUGUACAUGACUGCAUGUGCCAGAGAAAGAGACGAGACAAGCCAGAGACAAGCCCUGACUUGGAGGCUCCUGUCCCCAGCAUUGAAGGCUCUUCCUCCUCUCACCACAGCAAAGCCCUUUCUCCAGGGAUGUCCCAGGUCCGCUCGAUCCUGGGCCCACUUGCAGCCCACUCUGGCAGGUUUAUCUGCAUCACCUGGUGGGUGCCCCCACCAGGGGCCUGACUUCUGUGAGGACAGGGACCUCUCAUGAGCUCAGGCCCUAUGCCCAACCAGCAUUUAUAAAUGUAGUAGGCAGCCCCCUGGAGAGCCCCCAUUGGUCCUCAUCUCCUGGUGUUCAGCCCUCUGUAGGCCUUGCCACACUGAGUCAAAGCUGACUUGGGUGUCAAGUAGGAAGUGGCGCAGGUGAGGAGGUCAUAAAAAGGUAGCUCCUGCCUUGGUCUCUGAGACUGCUCACCCUAGGAGAAGCCAGCCAUCAGACCAUGGAGACACUCAGGAAGCCCUGAGGAGAUGCUCACACGGACAGGACUGAGGUCUCUGCCAACAGCAGCAGCAGCAGUGUUACAGCUGUGUGAGCGCACCACCUGCAAGAGAUAACGCAGAUAAUGCUGUUCUCGCUGAGGUCUUGACUGCAACCUCAUGAGAAACUCCAUGCCAGAACUUUCCAGCUGUAAGCCACUCCCAAAUUGUGCCUCUCCCCACCUUCAUUUUUUUUGAGACAGGGUCUCAUUCUGUCAUCUAAGCUGGAAAGCAGUGGCUCGAUCUCAGCUCACUGAGGCACUGCCCUUCUGGGCUCAAGAGAUCUUCCCACCUGAGCCUCUCCAGUAGCUGGGACCACAGGUAUGAGCCACCACGCCUGGUUACCUUUUUUUUUUUUUGAGACAGAGCUUUCACUCUGUUGCCCAGGCUGGAGUGCAGUGGUGCAAUCUUGGCUCACUGCCACCUCCACCUCCUGGGUUCAAGUGAUUCUCCUGCCUCAGCCUCCCGAGUAGCUGGGAUUACAAGCGCCGCCACCACCAGGUAAUUUUUGUAUUUUUAGUAGAAAUGGAGUUUCACCAUGUUGGCCAGGCUGGUCUCAAACUUCUGGGCUCCAGCAGUCUGCCUGCCUCGGCCUCCCAAGUUUCUCGGAUUGACUACAGAUAUGCAUGAGCCACCACACCCAGCCCACUCGCCGAUUCCUAACCCACAAUGCUAUGGGAAAUAAUGACUGUUGCUUUAAGGUACUAUGUUUUGGAGUCAUUUGUUAUGCAGCAAUGGAUAACCAAUAUAAUGCACUAUUUGGCCCGGUGCAGUGGCUCACACCUGUAAUCCCAGUGUGUGUGUGUGUGUGUGUAUAAAGUACACUUUUGCUGGUGCUUGCCGCAGACAGGGCCACAUGGGAGACAUGGGAUUACAGGGGUUUAGAGUUGCUGGCUUUCUUUUGAUUGUCUGAGUUACCACCUUCUCAAGCACAGGAGAGCAGUUCUGGGGUCCGGGGAACCCCUGUAUACUGGAUCUUCCCAGAGUAUGGAUCUGGAUUCUUCUAAGAGAUGGAGGGACAGAGGGAGGCUCCCGUUUGUCUGCCACAUGGACUCUUCUCUUCUCUCCUUACUCUCACUGAAGUCCAGGAUUUCCCCAAUGCUGUGGUUUCUCACAGCUGUGCCACAAGUCCAAGCCCUCUCCUGAGCUCGGUGCUUGUAUUCCUGGCAGCUUCUUAACCACCUCUUCCUGGGAUCUCAAAGUUAACACUCUUAAGCUGAAGUCUCUACUUUACCAUUUUAAAACUAAUCCUCCUUCUGGGAUUCCUCUUAAGGGCUUUCCAAAGCACUGAUGUGAUUGUAUAUCUCCCGUCUUUAAUACACACACAGAUUCAUAUACAUAUAUACAUAUCCAGAAUGAAAUAAACAAAAAAAUAUUAAUGGUUAUUCUGGCAUGAUAAAAAUACAGGUAAUUUUUAUUUUUUAUUUUAUUAUUGUUAUUAUUUUUGAGACGGAAUCUAGCUGUUGCCCAGGCUGGAGUGCAGUGGCAGAAUCUCAGUUCACUGCAACCUCUACCCGCCAGGUUCAAGCAAUUCUCCUGCUUCAGUCCCCCCCUGAGUAGAUGGGAUUACAGGUGCACACCACCAGGCCCAGAUAAUUUUUGUAUGUUUAGUAGAAACAGGGUUUUCCCAUGUUGGCCAGGCUGGUGUUGAAUUUCUGACCUCAGGUGAUCCACCCACCUUGGCCUGCCAAAGUGCUGGGAUUAUAGGUGUGAGCCACCAUGCCCAGCCUCUUUAUUCUUUUUAAUAUUAUUACAAAUUAUUUAUACUUCCUUUCUCUUGUUCUUGAUCAGUCUUAUUAGUGGUUUAUCAAUUUUAUUACCAUUUUCAAAGAACCACUUUUUGAUUGUCUGGAUAUUUUCUCUUGAUUUAUCUCCCUCUUCACUAAUUCUCUCUCCAGCUGUGUCUCGUCUACUAUUAAACCUAGCCACUAGGUUCUUAUCAUAUAUUUCAGUUCUAGAAUUUCUAUGUGGCCUUCUUAUAGUUUCAAGUUUCCUUACAAAUUUUUUAUCUUGCCUUAUAAUUUCUUGAAUAUUUUAUUUUUUAUUUUUUUGAGAUGGGGUCUCUCUGUGUCACCCAGGCUGGAGUGCAGUGGCACAAUCUCAGCUCACUGCAACCUCUACCUCUUGGGCUCAAGCGAUCCUCCCACCUCAGUCUCCCAUGUAGCUCAGUCUACAGGUGCAUGCUGCCACAUCUGGCUAAUUUUUGUACUUUUUAGUAGAAACAGAGUUUUGCUAUGUUGCCAGGCUGAUCUUGAACUCCUGGGUUCAAGCAAUCUGCCUACUUCGAACUCCCAAAGUGCUGGGAUUACAGGCAUGAACCACCACACCCAGCCUAGAAUAUUUUAUUUUAUUUAUUUACUUUGAGACAGUCUCACUCUGUUGCCCAGGCUGGAGUGCAGUGGCACAAUCUUGGCUCACUGCAACCUCUGCCUCCCGGGUUCAAGCAAUUCUCCCUCAGCCUCCAGAAUAGCUGGGAUUACAGAUGCAUGCCACUAUGCCCAGCUAAUUUUUGUAUUUUUAGUAGAGACGGGGUUUAUUCCCCUUUCUAAUAUACACAUUUGGCCAGGCUGGUGUCAAACUCCUGAUCUCAAGUGAUUCACUCACCUCAGCCUCCCAAAGUGCUGGGAUUACAGGCAUGAGCCACCACACCUGGGCUAUUUAUUUCUUUUAGAGACGGGUCUCCCUCUAUCACAGAGUCACAGUGCUCCGGGAUGUGGGCCCCGUAGGUCUGGACCAGGAGGUGCACCUGGGGAGGAGGUGCAGGCAGAGUCAGAGGGGCCAGGAUAGAGGGAAGUGUGGAGGGAGGAGGGGUCUGGGCUUGGCUGCCUGGGGAAUCACAAGGGGUCAGGAGACCUGGCUAGUGACUGGCUCUGGAGAUUGGGGCCCCCGAGUAGUCAGGCCGUGGUGCCGGAGCCUCCGUGCCGUGCUCUGGGAGGGGCUGGGGGUGCAUAUUUAACUCAGUUUCAUCAGGCACUGACCAUGGGCCAAAUGCUGGCCAUGGGCCAAGGGUAAAUACAUGUCUCCUCACUUAGGCUGCAUGACAAAUUUAUGAAGGAGAUGCCACUGCUCCCAUUUCACUGGUGAGGGACACAAGGCUUGGAGAGAUAGCUGCUGCCUAACUAGUGUCUGGCGAACAGCAGAGCUCUGAUGCUGCGGCCUCCUCACCUGGUUCCCAGGUGGCAAGGAGCAGGUGGAAGGACUCACAGGAGCCUUGUGGGGCGCAUGUCUCCAGGCCAGGCCAGGCCAGGCCAGCAGGCUCCGGUGCUGCUCUGGGAGGUUCUCAGAGCUUGGGGGUGGGGGCAUCUCUGCUGUUGGGCUGGUCCAGGGACUAGGGGUUCUCACCUGGGCCAGUAAUUCCCUUUGUGUCUCAGCCUAGGACCAUGCGUGUCCUUCCUGUGACAGGUCUGGCGGCUGAUGGGUGCCAUGGCACAAAUCAGAGGGGGCUGAACCCCAGGAUGGGGCCAGGGGCACAGGAAGAGGAUCAGGCUGGUGGGGGGUGCACAGUGGUGGCCAGGCCUAGCUGGCAUAGGUGUCGAUGAAGAGGACCCAGCCCCCAGCUGCCGUGUCAGUUCUCCAGGCAACUGAGCUGGCCGACCUGCUGGCAGGGGCUCCGGAUGCCCGUGUGAUCAUCCUUUCCGGCUCAGCCAGGUCCAGGGUGCUGCAGGGCAGGGCUGGGAGGGGGUGGGAGCACCCCUGCGAUCUGUGGGUUGGGGAGGGAAUGAGGGCUGAGGGGACCAGGGGCACCUCCUGGUGGAAUGGGGGGCUUCUCUGGAGUAAGGAGCCCUAUUCUGAGUCCUGUGCCUACUCCCCCCAGCCCUGGGCCUUGGAGCCUUUCCUCGGUUCUGGGACAGACGUCUCAGCUGGGGGGCACUGGGAUCCUCUCCCCUGUUAACUCUUCAGAUGCUGCUGUCUGGCUCCCUCGGGAGCACGGGAAUGCUCCAGGUGCCCACUAGAGGGCAGCAGGGACCAAGCACCCUCCCACAUGUCUGCCGGCCAUCCUGGGGCCAGCCGGAGCCGCUGCCGCCCCCACGUGGCAAAUCUGGGGCUCUGGUCUCUUUCCCUCCUCCCCUGGAGAGGCCACCAUUCCAACUAGCUUCUCGGUGGCUGUCUCUUUCUCCUCUCUGCAGGUCCCAGCCUGGUGCCUGGGAAGUGGGUUCGCACCUGAGCAGCCUGCGAGGAUGUCCAGGGCCCCAGGACUCCCCACCAGCUGAACUGGACAGAAAUGCAGGGAUGUGGUCC